rnacentral:rRNA from 1 species
UGGGGAAUUUUGGACAAUGGGGGCAACCCUGAUCCAGCCAUGCCGCGUGAGUGAAGAAGGCCUUCGGGUUGUAAAGCUCUUUCGGACGGAACGAAAUCGCCUGGAUUAAUACUCUGGGCGGAUGACGGUACCGUAAGAAGAAGCACCGGCUAACUACGUGCCAGCAGCCGCGGUAAUACGUAGGGUGCGAGCGUUAAUCGGAAUUACUGGGCGUAAAGCGUGCGCAGGCGGUCGCCUAAGCCAGGCGUGAAAUCCCCGGGCUUAACCUGGGAAUUGCGCUUGGGACUGGGCGGCUAGAGUACGGCAGAGGGAGGUGGAAUUCCACGUGUAGCAGUGAAAUGCGUAGAUAUGUGGAGGAACACCGAUGGCGAAGGCAGCCUCCUGGGCCUGUACUGACGCU